rnacentral:piRNA from 1 species
UAAUGCUGAUGGAUGCUCA